CAGUCCCAGCUUGGUCAUAUCGAGACGGCCGGGUGGGGGCGAGGCGACGAGCGCUCUCUCUCUCUCUCUCUCUCUCUCGCUCUCUCGCUGGCUCGCCGUUCUGUGGCUUUUAAAGAAGAGAAGGCGGACGGUAAAAAAAGCUCUCGCUGGCUCUAUUUCGUACCCUUGAAAGCUCGGGCUUCUUUUAUCGUUGUCGCUUCAUUAGAAGGAUUUUGUCUUCCUCUUCCCCUCGAGCGAGCGGGUGAUCUCGGAAAGUCUUUGGGGUUGCUACAGGGGGCUGGUUGAGAGAGUGGUCCUAACUUUGUACAUGUUUGUCGGAUCAAAAUGAUGGCAAAUUUUGUUACAAGAUCCUUGGCGUUGGUUCUUGGCUAUGCUUAUCCGGCAUAUGAAUGCUUCAAAACUGUGGAGUUGAACAAGCCGGAGAUUGAGCAGCUGAGAUUCUGGUGUCAGUAUUGACUUAUCUGGGAAUUCAGAUUUUUCGGUUCUACUUCAAAUGCACCAGAUGCUCGGCUGAAAUUGCAUUCAAAACAGAUCCUCAGAAUUCGGACUAUGUUGUUGCAUCGGGAGCAUCCCGAAAUUUUGAGCCUUGGCGGGAAGAGGACGAAGCAGUAGAAAAAGAGAAGAAGAAAAGAGCUGCUGAAGAGAUGGGGGAUGCGAUGAAGUCACUGGAAAACAGAGCAGUGGAUUCAAAGAGAGAUAUGGACAUACUUGCAGCACUAGAAGAAAUGAGGUCUAUGAAGGUAUAAAACCUUUAUUAGGUAUGUUAGAAGAGUGAGAAGGGUUUUCCCCCAAAAAAAGUGUAGAUCAAGUGGGAAAGGGAAAUAGUUUUCUUCAAUCAUUUUCCAUAUUGAGGGUUUAAAUAUAUUCAGCGAUUUCUCCCUCCUCAGGUUCCUGAUACUUCAACAGCUCGCAGAGAUGAUGAUGGGGCUGAAUGCAGUCCCUGAUAUUUUUUAGACUGUUAUUUAAUGAGUUUUAUAUGUAUCUUUCUUAUAUUUUUCAAAAUACAUUGUAAAUGUAAUGCAGGUUCAUAUUUGUAAUUCUAAACUUAUGUAAAUUUAAUCUUAUAUGACAAUAUGAAUGUUUCGAAUGAUCUGUAUAUUUGUCUUGAUGUAAAUGUAAUGCAGGUUCAUAUUGC